UACGAAGGGGGCUAGCGUUGCUCGGAAUCACUGGGCGUAAAGCGCACGUAGGCGGAUCGUUAAGUCAGGGGUGAAAUCCUGGAGCUCAACUCCAGAACUGCCUUUGAUACUGGCGACCUUGAGUUCGGGAGAGGUGAGUGGAACUGCGAGUGUAGAGGUGAAAUUCGUAGAUAUUCGCAAAGAACACCAGUGGCGAAGGCGGCUCACUGGCCCGAUACUGACGCUGAGGUGCGAAAGCGUGGGGAGCAAACAGGG
rnacentral:rRNA from 1 species